rnacentral:rRNA from 1 species
GACGAACGCUGGCGGCGUGCUUAACACAUGCAAGUCGAACGGUGAAGGGAUCAGCUUGCUGGUUCUGGAUGAGUGGCGAACGGGUGAGUAACACGUGAGUAACCUGCCCCCUUCUUCUGGAUAACCGCAUGAAAGUGUGGCUAAUACGGGAUAUUCUGGGUCUGUCGCAUGAUGGGUCUGGGAAAGAUAUUGUUUCGGUGGGGGAUGGGCUCGCGGCCUAUCAGCUUGUUGGUGGGGUGAUGGCCUACCAAGGCGGUGACGGGUAGCCGGCCUGAGAGGGUGGACGGUCACACUGGGACUGAGACACGGCCCAGACUCCUACGGGAGGCAGCAGUGGGGAAUAUUGCACAAUGGGCGCAAGCCUGACGCAGCGACGCCGCGUGAGGGAUGGAGGCCUUCGGGUUGUAAACCUCUUUCGCCAGUGAAGCAGGCCUGCUCCUUGUGGGUGGGUUGACGGUAGCUGGAUAAGAAGCGCCGGCUAACUACGUG